AUACGGAGGGUGCAAGCGUUGUUCGGAAUUACUGGGCGUAAAGCGUGCGUAGGCGGUCUGUUAUGUCAGAUGUGAAAGUCCUCGGCUCAACCGGGGAAGUGCAUUUGAAACUGGCAGACUUGAGUACUGGAGGGGGUGGUGGAAUUCCCGGUGUAGAGGUGAAAUUCGUAGAUAUCGGGAGGAAUACCGGUGGCGAAGGCGACCACCUGGCCAGAUACUGACGCUGAGGUGCGAAAGCGUGGGGAGCAAACAGGAUUAGAAACCCCAGUAGUCC
rnacentral:rRNA from 1 species